UGAGGUAGUUUUAAAUGUUAUGACUUUAUCGUUCAUAACAUUUAUCCUACUUCUUC
rnacentral:pre_miRNA from 1 species